UACGUAGGGGGCAAGCGUUGUCCGGAAUUAUUGGGCGUAAAGAGCGCGUAGGCGGUCCGAUAAGUCGGCUGUGAAAGUCAGGGGCUCAACCCUUGAAAGCCGGCCGAUACUGUCGGACUAGAGUCCGGAAGAGGCAAGUGGAAUUCCCGGUGUAGCGGUGAAAUGCGCAGAUAUCGGGAGGAACACCAAUGGCGAAGGCAGCUUGCUGGGACGGUACUGACGCUGAGGCGCGAAAGCGUGGGUAGCAAACAGG
rnacentral:rRNA from 1 species